UGGGGAAUAUUGCACAAUGGGGGAAACCCUGAUGCAGCGACGCCGCGUGGAGGAAGAAGGUCUUCGGAUUGUAAACUCCUGUUGUUGAGGAAGAUAAUGACGGUACUCAACAAGGAAGUGACGGCUAACUACGUGCCAGCAGCCGCGGUAAAACGUAGGUCACAAGCGUUGUCCGGAAUUACUGGGUGUAAAGGGAGCGCAGGCGGGAAGACAAGUUGGAAGUGAAAUCCAUGGGCUCAACCCAUGAACUGCUUUCAAAACUGUUUUUCUUGAGUAGUGCAGAGGUAGGCGGAAUUCCCGGUGUAGCGGUGGAAUGCGUAGAUAUCGGGAGGAACACCAGUGGCGAAGGCGGCCUACUGGGCACCAACUGACGCUGAGGCUCGAAAGUGUGGGUAGCAAACAGGAUUAGAUACCCUGGUAGUCCACACUGUAAACGAUGAUUACUAGGUGUUGGAGGAUUGACCCCUUCAGUGCCGCAGUUAACACAAUAAGUAAUCCACCUGGGGAGUACGACCGCAAGGUUGAAACUCAAAGGAAUUGACGGGGGCCCGCACAAGCAGUGGAGUAUGUGGUUUAAUUCGACGCAACGCGAAGAGCCUUACCAAGUCUUGACAUCCUGCGACGGACAUAGAAAUAUGUCUUUCCUUCGGGACGCAGAGACAGGUGGUGCAUGGUUGUCGUCAGCUCGUGUCGUGAGAUGUUGGGUUAAGUCCCGCAACGAGCGCAACCCUUAUGGUCAGUUACUACGCAAGAGGACUCUGGCCAGACUGCCGUUGACAAAACGGAGGAAGGUGGGGAUGACGUCAAAUCAUCAUGCCCUUUAUGACUUGGGCUACACACGUACUACAAUGGCGUUAAACAAAGAGAAGCAAGACCGCGAGGUGGAGCAAAACUCAGAAACAACGUCCCAGUUCGGACUGCAGGCUGCAACUCGCCUGCACGAAGUCGGAAUUGCUAGUAAUCGUGGAUCAGCAUGCCACGGUGAAUACGUUCCC
rnacentral:rRNA from 1 species